GGCAACGUGGCUUAGUGGAAAGAGCCCGGGCUUGGGAACCAGCAGUCAUGGGUUCUAAUCCCGGCUCUGCCA
rnacentral:tRNA from 1 species